GGAGGGACAGCUGUGUCCUCGUGGCCCCUGCACUGCAGGGCAGGGGCCCGGGCUGGCCUCACCCUCGCCCUAGGGCAGGCAGUGGGGAUGUCUGCACCUCAGAAGCCGAGGCCGUCCCUGGUGGUCCCCAGGGCAGCUGAGCCCUCCCUCGUGCAGUGACAGUCCCGGAACAGGAAGAAGGCGCUCAACCCGGGAAGCUCCAGGUUUGAUGGGGGGCUUCGGACAAAGGAGAGACCCCUGCAACCAAGAUCGUCAAAGAGCGCACCCAGCAGUGGCCAGCUCAGUCCCAUCAGAGAAACCCCGAUGGGCUCAUUCACAAUCCCUUUCACCGCUGCCCACUGGUGAGAAGCUUGGAAGGCCCAGCACCUAGCUCAGCACCCUGAGGCCAGCCGCUCCGCCCUCACUCCUGUCUGUACCAGCACCAGGCUGCAGUGUCCUGACACCUGGGGCUCGGCCCUGCCUCCUCGAAAGGGAAGAUCCGACUGCAGAGACACUUGGCCCUUCGGGAAAACGAGGACCCAACUGAUCCAUGUGAGCACAGGCUCAGCCAGCAGCUCACAGUAACCCGGCCUGAUCUCAGAGGUGAAUUGUGCAGAAAUCAAAAGGUGGUAUCUCUGUGGCGACUGGCGUUUCGUGUAAUUGGCACCGAUGGUCACGCAGCCCCCAGGGCUGAGGUCCCACAUGCUGCUGAUUUUGGUGAAAUCGAACAACUUGGCUGUGACCGCAGAGCGGCUGAACCGCGAGGGCCCAGGCUUUGAGAUGCUUCAAAUCAAGAGGAAGCGCUUUCCGCCUUUGGCCUACUUCUCCCACACAGUGUUGGGUGAAUUGCUAUAGGAGACAGAGGAUCGGAAGGGCACCCACCCCCUUCCAGUCCCUCGGCUUGUCAGCUCCAUGGUCCGUCACCUAGGCAAGGACAGCUGGCCCCCUCCCAGGUUUGUUCCCGCCCGCCACACCUGCAAGGGACACCAGAGCCCAGCUCUGCCUCUCAGGGGCCCGAGUCUCAGCUCCAAGGCCACCUCCUCCUCCAGGCUGCCAGUCCGCCUAAUGCCUGGAGGCCGUUGAGUCCUCUGCCUCCCACCUUGUCUCCUGGUCCCCUUUGCCUUGUCAGUCUUCC
rnacentral:lncRNA from 1 species